GACAACGCCGCGGACUGACGGAAUAGUCCGUUAAAGGGUGUAGAUGUUGAUUAUCCCAGGCAAAUCCGGGAUAAGAGUCGAACCUGACAGUAUACCAAUUUCCCCGGAAAACGGUAAUAGUGCGUGUAAACAUACUCCCAAGAAAAUCCGCUAAACUUAAUCUUAUAGGUACCCGUACCGUAAACGGACACACGUAGUCGGGUUGAA
rnacentral:rRNA from 1 species